rnacentral:rRNA from 1 species
GCUCCAAUUCGGGCCCUCAUCCGAGGACUCGUCGGGGUGACCCGAAAUGACCCGGAGAAGCCGUAGGGAGGUCCGGGGAGAGUUGUCUCUUCUCUAUAAGCGUUCGAGUUCCCUGGAAGCCUCUAGGAGGGAGAUAGGGUUUGGAACGCGAAGAGCACCGCACUUACGGCGGUGUCCGGAUCUUCCCCUCGGACCUUGAAAAUCCGGGCGAGGGCCACGAGGAACACCGCGCCGGCUCGUACCCAUAUCCGCAGCAGGUCUCCAAG